UACGUAGGGUGCAAGCGUUAAUCGGAAUUACUGGGCGUAAAGCGUGCGCAGGCGGCUUUGCAAGACAGAUGUGAAAUCCCCGGGCUUAACCUGGGAACUGCAUUUGUGACUGCAUGGCUGGAGUGCGGCAGAGGAGGAUGGAAUUCCGCGUGUAGCAGUGAAAUGCGUAGAUAUGCGGAGGAACACCGAUGGCGAAGGCAAUCCCCUGGGCCUGCACUGACGCUCAUGCACGAAAGCGUGGGGAGCAAACAGG
rnacentral:rRNA from 1 species